rnacentral:rRNA from 1 species
UACGGAGGGUGCGAGCGCUGUCCGGAAUCACUGGGCGUAAAGGGCGCGUAGGCGGCUUCUUAAGCGUGUGGUGAAAGCUCGGGGCUCAACCUCGAGUCGGCCAUGCGAACUGGGAGGCUUGAGCACUGUAGAGGCAGGUGGAAUUCCGGGUGUAGCGGUGGAAUGCGUAGAGAUCCGGAAGAACACCGGUGGCGAAGGCGGCCCGCUGGGCAGUAGCUGACGCUGAGGCGCGACAGCGUGGGGAGCAAACAGG